UAAAGUGGUGAAGUGCUUCCCAACAGGCUAGGGUUUCGAUUUGCGCCGGAGAAGACGCUCGCACCUUCUUUGCAAAACCGUCAACGAUCUUCCCAGAGGCAUCUCGGCAUACACAGGCAACACUACCUUCGUUAUCUCCUUCCACAAAGGACCCAUCAACGUUAAUUUUGAGGGUACCUACCGGCGGUGGCUUCCAUAUGGCAGCUUCCACGACCCACCUCGGCUCUGGGUUCUGUUGACCAAAUACGUGAUUGUUUCUUGACUUCCAGAUGUUCCAUAGGAUCUCGGCUAGUAGCUCAGGGUGCGUCCAAACCUGUUUGGUCCAUUCACAGAGAAGAAAGAUAUGUUCUACAGUCUCUGGGUGCUUGCGACAAAGAGGGCAUAAGGGCUUAGG